rnacentral:rRNA from 1 species
UACGGAGGAUCCAAGCGUUAUCCGGAAUCAUUGGGUUUAAAGGGUCCGUAGGCGGGUUUGUAAGUCAGUGGUGAAAUCUUCCAGCUCAACUGGGAAAUUGCCAUUGAUACUGCAAGUCUUGAAUUAUUAAGAAGUAACUAGAAUAUGUAGUGUAGCGGUGAAAUGCUUAGAGAUUACAUGGAAUACCAAUUGCGAAGGCAGGUUACUAUUAAUGGAUUGACGCUGAUGGACGAAAGCGUGGGUAGCGAACAGG